GUUAAGCGACUAAGCGUACACGGUGGAUGCCCUGGCAGUCAGAGGCGAUGAAGGACGUGCUAAUCUGCGAUAAGCGUCGGUAAGGUGAUAUGAACCGUUAUAACCGGCGAUUUCCGAAUGGGGAAACCCAGUGUGUUUCGACACACUAUCAUUAACUGAAUCCAUAGGUUAAUGAGGCGAACCGGGGGAACUGAAACAUCUAAGUACCCCGAGGAAAAGAAAUCAACCGAGAUUCCCCCAGUAGCGGCGAGCGAACGGGGAGGAGCCCAGAGCCUGAAUCAGUGUGUGUGUUAGUGGAAGCGUCUGGAAAGGCGCGCGAUACAGGGUGACAGCCCCGUACACAAAAAUGCACAUGCUGUGAGCUCGAUGAGUAGGGCGGGACACGUGGUAUCCUGUCUGAAUAUGGGGGGACCAUCCUCCAAGGCUAAAUACUCCUGACUGACCGAUAGUGAACCAGUACCGUGAGGGAAAGGCGAAAAGAACCCCGGCGAGGGGAGUGAAAAAGAACCUGA
rnacentral:rRNA from 1 species